GGGCCGUUAGCUCAGCUGGUAGAGCAGAAGACUCUUAAUCUUUUGGUCGUAGGUUCGAAUCCUACACGGCCCACCA
rnacentral:tRNA from 1 species